CUCCCAGGUUCAAAGGAUUCUCCUGCCUCAGCCUCCCAGUUCUUCCAACUUUGGAGCAGAAUGUACCAAGAAUGUAACUCCCUGAAAUAAGGAAGAACCCUCCAGAAUAGCUUAAGAUUUUUCCUCAUCUCUCCAAGAAGAGGAUGUUCUGCAACACUUGAACUCAGGAAACCAAGUUGCCCUCAGGAUAUAAAACCCAGAAGGGUGGGACUUUGAGGCUUUUACUUUGGUGCAGAUUGGGGCACAUGCAGAUAGACUUCAUCCAUUUUGCACAACUUUCCUGAACCAGGGGGAAUCAGCUCACCAUGGAGUCCAGGUUUCUGUUAAUCCCUGCUGCCUAUCUGUGAGUAAUAAAGUUGCUUUUGUUGA